rnacentral:misc_RNA from 1 species
GAAAUGCGAUACGUAGUGUGAAUUGCAGAAUUCCGUGAACCAUCGAAUCUUUGAACGCAAAUUGCGCCCGAGGCUUCGGCCGAGGGCAUGUCUGCCUCAGCGUCGGUUUACACCCUCGCCCUCCCCCACCCUGCGUGGUGGGGUGCUGGUGCGGAUCUGGCCCUCCCGGCUCCCCUCUCCCUCCCAGGCGAGGCUCCGGGUUGGCUGAAGCACAGAGGCUUGAGCAUGGACCCCGUUUGUAGGGCAAUGGCUUGGUAGGUAGGCACCCCCUACGCAGCCUGCCGUUGCCCGAGGGGACUUUGCUGGAGGCCCAGCAGGAAUCCGGUCGGUCCCUGUGGCCGCCGGACCACUCACUCAUUCGACCUGAGCUCAGGCAAGAUUACCCGCUGAACUUAA